GACGAACGCUGGCGGCGUGCUUAACACAUGCAAGUCGAACGGAAAGGCCCUGCUUUUGUGGGGUGCUCGAGUGGCGAACGGGUGAGUAACAUGUGAGUAACCUGCCCUUGACUUUGGGAUAACUUCAGGAAACUGGGGCUAAUACCGGCUAGGAGCUCCUGCUGCAUGGUGGGGGUUGGAAAGUUUCGGCGGUUGGGGAUGGACUCGCGGCUUAUCAGCUUGUUGGUGGGGUAGUGGCUUACCAAGGCUUUGACGGGUAGCCGGCCUGAGAGGGUGACCGGCCACAUUGGGACUGAGAGACGGCCCAGACUCCUACGGGAGGCAGCAGUGGGGAGUAUUGCACAAUGAGCGGGAGCCUGAUGCAGCGACGCCGCGUGCGGGAUGACGGCCUUCGGGUGGUAAACCGCUGUCGCCUGUGACGAAGCGUGAGUGACGGUAAUGGGUAAAGAAGCACCGGCUAACUACGUG
rnacentral:rRNA from 1 species